UCUUCCCCGAGGACGUUGGGUCUGAGGUGAACACCACGGACUCCAGGACAUGCUCUAUGAACAUCUCUGUGUUCAGCAUCCUGUGGUCCGGUUCCAACAACACCGGAAAAUUCACCUGCGAAUAUGAGGAGAAUGUGAAUGGGAAGUGGAUCCUGUCCCCAAGGAGCUGGGCUGUGAACAUCACAGUGUCAGCUCGCAGCUUCCUAUGCAUCCAGGAGCUGGUGCUGGGUGGCUCCUUCUUCCUCAUCAAUGGCCUCAUCUUCCUCAUCUCACACUGUUGCUUCUAGACCCAGUUACCAAUCCAUGAGAGGACCUUCUCUCUUAUCCCAUGA